rnacentral:rRNA from 1 species
CUCCUACGGGAGGCAGCAGUGGGGAAUAUUGCACAAUGGGCGCAAGCCUGAUGCAGCGACGCCGCGUGGGGGAUGAAGGCCUUCGGGUUGUAAACUCCUUUCGCCCGGGACGAAGCCUGCUAUUUUUGUGGUGGGUGACGGUACCGUGGAGAAGAAGCACCGGCUAACUACGUGCCAGCAGCCGCGGUAAUACGUAGGGUGCAAGCGUUGUCCGGAUUUACUGGGCGUAAAGAGCUCGUAGGUGGUGUGUCGCGUCGUCUGUGAAAUUCCGGGGCUUAACUCCGGGCGUGCAGGCGAUACGGGCACUACUAGAGUGCUGUAGGGGUAACUGGAAUUCCUGGUGUAGCGGUGAAAUGCGCAGAUAUCAGGAGGAACACCGAUGGCGAAGGCAGGUUACUGGGCAGUUACUGACGCUGAGGAGCGAAAGCAUGGGGAGCGAACAGGAUUAGAUACCCUGGUAGUCCAUGCUGUAAACGGUGGGCGCUAGGUGUGGGCUGUGUGUUUGCAGUCUGUGCCGUAGCUAACGCAUUAAGCGCCCCGCCUGGGGAGUACGGCCGCAAGGCUAAAACUCAAAGGAAUUGACGGGGGCCCGCACAAGCGGCGGAGCAUGUGGAUUAAUUCGAUGCAACGCGAAGAACCUUACCUGGGUUUGACAUGCACUAGAUCGGCGUAGAGAUACGUUUUUCCCUUGUGGUUGGUGCACAGGUGGUGCAUGGUUGUCGUCAGCUCGUGUCGUGAGAUGUUGGGUUAAGUCCCGCAACGAGCGCAACCCUUGUCUUAUGUUGCCAGCACAUUUUUGGUGGGGACUCAUGAGAGACUGCCGGGGUCAACUCGGAGGAAGGUGGGGAUGACGUCAAAUCAUCAUGCCCUUUAUACCCAGGGCUUCACACAUGCUACAAUGGUCGGUACAACGGGUUGCGACACUGUAAGGUGAAGCUAAUCUCUUAAAGCCGGCCUCAGUUCGGAUUGGGGUCUGCAACUCGACCCCAUGAAGUCGGAGUCGCUAGUAAUCGCAGAUCAGCAAUGCUGCGGUGAAUACGUUCCCGGGUCUUGUACACACGC